rnacentral:misc_RNA from 1 species
GUGAGUCAUCGAAUCUUUGAACGCACCUUGCGCUCCUCGGUAUUCCGAGGAGCAUGCCUGUUUGAGUGUCUUGAAGCCAUCAACUCCUCCCGUUUUGGUGCGGGCUGUGUGUUGGACCUGGGGGCCUGCUGCCGUGAGGCUGCUCCCCUCAAAUGCAUCGGUUGGGCCUGUGGGUCAAACUCGACUGGGCGUUGUACAAACCUCGCUCUGACAGAGUCCCCUCUUUGUGUGCCCUCCCUGGACCUGCCUUUGGAGUGGCAGUCAAACUUUUUGAAUUCUGACCUCAAAUCAGGUAGGACUACCCGCUGAACUUAAGCAUAUCAAUAAGCGGAGGA